rnacentral:misc_RNA from 1 species
AAGAAAGGUUGACUAGGUACAAGGGCUUCAAAGAAGGACACAAAAGAAUUCUUGUGGCCACUGAUUUGGUUGGCAGAGGGAUUGAUAUUGAGCGUGUCAACAUUGUGAUAAAUUAUGACAUGCCUGACUCUGCUGAUACUUAUUUGCAUAGGGUGGGCAGGGCUGGUCGAUUUGGAACUAAAGGACUAGCCAUUACAUUUGUCUCGUCUGCCUCUGACUCAGAUAUUCUGA